CCUACGGGAGGCAGCAGUGGGGAAUUUUGGACAAUGGGGGAAACCCUGAUCCAGCCAUGCCGCGUGAGUGAAGAAGGCCUUCGGGUUGUAAAGCUCUUUCGGCCGGGACGAAAUCGCACGCGUGAAUAUCGCGUGUGGAUGACGGUACCGGAAGAAGAAGGACCGGCUAACUACGUGCCAGCAGCCGCGGUAAUACGUAGGGUCCGAGCGUUAAUCGGAAUUACUGGGCGUAAAGCGUGCGCAGGCGGUUUUGUAAGCCAGAUGUGAAAUCCCCGGGCUUAACCUGGGAACUGCAUUUGGGACUGCAAGGCUUGAGUACGGCAGAGGGGGGUAGAAUUCCUGGUGUAGCAGUGAAAUGCGUAGAUAUCAGGAGGAAUACCGAUGGCGAAGGCAGCCCCCUGGGUCGAUACUGACGCUCAUGCACGAAAGCGUGGGGAGCA
rnacentral:rRNA from 1 species